rnacentral:lncRNA from 1 species
GGAGUUGGCAAGAAGAAGUUAUCCCACUUUCAAAUCAGGUGAUUCCAGUUUCUCAGUUUGGGAAUAGCACAGCUUCAUCGUCGUUCCAAUCAAACCAGGAUGAAUCACUUUGUGAGAAGCUUUAUUUGGAUACAUAAAGUGGUGGAGAAUAACCAGGAUGUUGAAUAAAUAUCAUAGGACCUGCAAAAGGAAGUUAUCCCACUUUCAAAUCAGGUGAUUCCAGUUUUCCAAUUUGGGAAUAGAAUAGCUUCUUCGUCGUUCCAAUCAAACCAGGAUGAAUCACUUUGUGAGAAGCUUGAUUUGGAUACAUAAAGUGGUGGAGAAUCACCAGGAAGUUGAAUAAAACUCAUAGGAGUUGGCAAGAAGAAGUUAUUCCACUUUCAAAUCAGGUGAUUCUAGUUUCCCA